UACGUAGGGUGCGAGCGUUGUCCGGAAUUAUUGGGCGUAAAGAGCUCGUAGGCGGCCUGUCGCGUCGGUUGUGAAAGCCCGGGGCUUAACCCCGGGUCUGCAGUCGAUACGGGCAGGCUAGAGUUCGGUAGGGGAGAUCGGAAUUCCUGGUGUAGCGGUGAAAUGCGCAGAUAUCAGGAGGAAGACCGGUGGCGAAGGCGGUCUGCUGGGCAGUUUCUGACACUGAGGCGCGACAGCGUGGGGAGCAAACAGG
rnacentral:rRNA from 1 species